CAAACAGCUGGCUCGGAGGUCUCCUCAGAUCGUCCACACUGGGAUACGACGGACUGAUACUGAUCUCCAGUUGCCAUUGGAGAAGAGGGCCCUGGACAGGUGACCAGACCAACAGGAUAUCAGGGACAUCAUUCUUUUGCUAUUCUCAGGAGCAUUGCAGUUUGCACAAUGAGCUCAGCAGAUCCACAGUUCCACCAGAUGUUUGCUAACGGCUGCUGCCGCUGGUCUGGAGGAGCUGAGA